rnacentral:rRNA from 1 species
UACGGAGGAUGCAAGCGUUAUCCGGAAUGAUUGGGCGUAAAGGGUCCGCAGGUGGCAAUGUAAGUCUGCUGUCAAAGAAUGAGGCUUAACCUCAUCAAGGCAGUGGAAACUACAUAGCUAGAGUACGGUCGGGGUAGAAGGAAUUCCUGGUGUAGCGGUGAAAUGCGUAGAGAUCAGGAGGAACACCGGUGGCGAAGGCGGCUUCCUGGACCGACACUGACGCUGAGGCGCGAAAGCUAGGGGAGCAAACGGG